GCUUGCGAUCACAGCAGCACUAAUGCACCAGAUCCCAUCAGAACUCCACAGUUAAGUGUGCUUGGGCAAGAGUAGUACUACGAUGGGUGACCCCCUGAGAAGUCCUCGUGUUGCAUCCU